rnacentral:rRNA from 1 species
UACGAAGGUCCCAAGCGUUAUCCGGAUUUAUUGGGUUUAAAGGGUGCGUAGGCGGGUUAUUAAGUCAGUGGUGAAAGCCUUCAGCUUAACUGAAGAACUGCCAUUGAUACUGAUGAUCUUGAGUAUGAUUGAGGUUGGCGGAAUGUGUCAUGUAGCGGUGAAAUGCUUAGAUAUGACACAGAACACCGAUUGCGAAGGCAGCUAACUAAGCCAUAACUGACGCUGAUGCACGAAAGCGUGGGGAGCAAACAGG